rnacentral:lncRNA from 1 species
AUCUGCUUAGUCAUAAUUCAUCUGUAUAUAAUAUCUGUUCAGGGACAAAGUAAGCCAAGAAAAAGAGGACUUACAGUUUCCUCUAUUGGCACUGAAGGGUCGAUGCGAUGUUGAUAGUAAAGGUCAAUAUAUUCCACCUCAAGACGCUUUAAGCUAGCCUCACAGCAUGCACGAACAUAUUCAGGUUUGCCAUUAAAUGAGGCAGCCUUGAAAUCAUUGUUCUCGCAAACAAUACCGAAUUUUGUAGCCAAUUGGAUCUUCUCUCUAGGCAAUUGCUUCAAAGCCUGCAAGCGCAAGUAUUUGACGUAGUACACAACUAAACAAAAGCAAUAUAUCCCUAGAAAUUACAUUUCAUGAACUCUAUUUGCUUGGCUUAUCUCGUUUCAAGACAAGAACUAAUUGUAUAUGAUAAGAAGAAACCUUGCCGAUCAAGAUUUCAUUAGUGUUAGGGCCAUAAACAUCAGCAGUAUCGAAAAAUGUAAUUCCUCUAUUGAAAGCUUCCUUGAUGGUUGAUAUGCCAACUUCUUCAGGGAGAGGGGCGUUGUAGCCACCAGAAAGCCCCAUACAUCCAAAUCCUAAUUUGGAGACCUGAAAGUUAAAGCAAAAGGGUAAAAUUUUUCAUCAUUUCUAAUUGAAAAACAUGGAAUAAUAAACAAUUGAGAUGAGCGUCACCUCUAGCCCUUGAUUACCCAGCUUCACCAUUGGAAUUACAAGUCUUUGCUUCUCAGCCAUCUCUUAGUUUUCUAUGUGCCUCCUUCAACCUUCUCCUUCCCUUCCUCCUAUCUGCUAUGGAAGUGAUGAGUUUAGUUAAUUCAAGUGCUGAAGGAACCAUAAAUAAUAUCUAUAUUUAUAGAUAAUUUCAGGUCCCUGUGUCGGAUAGGCACUCCUGACGUUGACAUGGAUUGUGAGCAGUGACGCAUGAGCUUGUGUCAAUGAAAGAUUUUAUUUGACAACCAUUAAGUUUUGAUCAAUUGGGGACCAAAUUUUCUUUUUAAUACUGAAAAUCAAGAUAAGAAACAAACAAAAAAAAAAAUCUGGGCAUGGGACCCCUUGGAUUCAUCUCUGAAAAAUUUCAUUUGUCAAUUUAUGAUUUCCAUUAAGCAAGUUAAUUUCUGUCAUGUUUCAUGACAGAUAAGCAAUUAUGCUUAUGCUUAUACAGUGCUAACCUUUACCAUCUUAUAGAUUAUAUAAACUUGACCCUUUAUUAUAAAAUUCAGUUGUUGCAUGAGCAACUUUAGAAAGCAAUGUUUUGCAGGUUAGGGAAAAAAAAACCUUGAUGUUAUAUUUUUAAUAUAUUCAACUAUUAAGAAAUUCAAUAUAACUAGGGAUGAGUGUUUGUUCGAUUUUUAUUAAUGAAAUAAUAACUUCUCCAUUUAUAUUAUUUUUUAUUUUCCUUUUAUAAAUAAUAACUUCUCCAUUUCCAUCAAAUGGGUCAGCCAAGAUAUUAGAACAUUAAUUUUGAAGAGAAGAUGACUUGCAUUCUUUUGAAUUAAAUACUUCAUAGUUCAUAAUGAUGGUGGCCCUCCAUAUUAGACAGACCCACUGUAACAAAUUAUCCAUCUGUAGAGUUCGAGCAGGGGAAACCGACAAAACGACAGGGGUAAAGCUUGCUAAUUAAUUUAUUUAUUAUAAUUAAUUUCUACUGAGACUCCAAUUCGAGAUCUUAUAAUUCUGACAUUAAUGGUAAGAUCAAAAUUUCAGUAAGUGCACAGCUUGCUAAGAUAGACGACUCAGGUCGGGAAUUAGCCAUUUCUGUGUGGGGUGUUGCCAAACUUCCAUGUAUACCUGAUGUCAAAAAAUCUCAAUCCAGCAACUUGGUCGGCUGGAACAGCAUCAGAGACUUCCUUAAACUCAUCUUUUGUCAGCUUAACUCUCAAUGCUCCAAUGUUGUCAUGCAGAUUCUUAAUCUUUGUUGUGCCUAAAGAAAGCCCAACAAGACAUUGCAAACCACAAGUAUUUGGUAAGCUGAUCUAAACACAUUAGAUAACUGAGAGCAUGAAUCAAAGAGAAGCAGACCCACCAGGGAUGGGAACCACAUCAUCUCCUUGAUUGAGAACCCAAGCAAGGGCAAGCUGAGCAGGACUGCAUCCAUAUUUUUUAGCUAAAUUUUCUACUCUCCUAUAUAAUACCUUAUUCUGUUUUAAAUUUUCUUCUGUGAAUCUUGGGAAGAAUUUCUGCAGUAAAAGCAAGGUAGAUGCCAAAUAAGCAUCAAAUUAAAGAAUUAGAUUGUAACUAAAUGCAAAUUUAGUACCAGCAGAGUGUCUGAAGGCACGCUUUCCACUACUGCUUUGCCAGCAAAAAAGCCCUGACCCAGAGGGCUAUAUGGAACUAUUCCAAUUCCAAGUUCCCUGCAUGUUUGUUUCAGAGGACAAUCCCCUCAGACAUAUUAUUAUUAGAUUAAUCAAAGAAAACGUAGUAAGAAACACUAAAUAUGAAUAUUACAUGUGUACCUGCAAAGAGGGAUUAUUUGUUCCUCGAGGUCGCGAGACCAAAGUGACCAUUCUAUUUGCAGUGCAGUGAUGGGGUGAACUGCGUGUGCUCUCUUGAUGGUAUCGGGACUUGGCUCAGAAAGUCCUAUGUACUUAAUUUUCCCUUCUUCCACUAACUUCUUAAGUUCUCCCAUCUACUUGAUGAAAAAUUCAUUCAGAAAUUCACAGAGAAAACCAGUAAAUGAAAAUAAGAACUUACGGUUUCCUCUAUUGGGACUGACGGGUCGAUGCGAUGUUGAUAGUAAAGGUCAAUAUAGUCCACAUCAAGACGCUUUAAGCUAGCCUCACAGCAUGCACGAACAUAUUCAGGUUUGCCAUUAAAUGAGGCA